UACAGAGGGGGCAAGCGUUGCUCGGAAUUACUGGGCGUAAAGGGCGCGUAGGCGGCCUGCUAAGUCGAACGUGAAAUCCCUGGGCUCAACCCAGGAACUGCGUCCGAUACUGGUUGGCUUGAAUCCGGGAGAGGGAUGUGGAAUUCCAGGUGUAGCGGUGAAAUGCGUAGAUAUCUGGAGGAACACCGGUGGCGAAGGCGACAUCCUGGACCGGUAUUGACGCUGAGGAGCGAAAGCGUGGGGAGCGAACAGG
rnacentral:rRNA from 1 species